GACGAACGCUGGCGGCGUGCCUAAUACAUGCAAGUCGAACGCGCAGCGAAAGGUGCUUGCACCUUUCAAGCGAGUGGCGAACGGGUGAGUAACGCGUGGAUAACCUGCCUCAAGGCUGGGGAUAACAUUUGGAAACAGAUGCUAAUACCGAAUAAAACUUAGUAUCGCAUGAUACAAAGUUAAAAGGCGCUACGGCGUCACCUAGAGAUGGAUCCGCGGUGCAUUAGUUAGUUGGUGGGGUAAAGGCUUACCAAGACGAUGAUGCAUAGCCGAGUUGUGAGACUGACCGGCCUCAUUGGGACUGAGACACGGCCCGUACUCCUGCGGGAGGCUGCAGUAGGGAAGCUUCCACAAUGGGCGCAAGCCUGAUGGAGCAACGCCGCGUGUGUGAUGAAGGCUUUCGGGUCGUAAAGCACUGUUGUAUGGGAAGAAAUGCUAAAAUAGGGAAUGAUUUUAGUUUGACGGUACCAUACCAGAAAGGGACGGCUAAAUACGUGCCAGCCGCCGCAGUAA
rnacentral:rRNA from 1 species